GAUGAACGCUGGCGGCGCGCCUAACACAUGCAAGUCGAACGGCACCCCUCCUCGGAGGGAAGCGAGUGGCGAACGGCUGAGUAACACGUGGAGAACCUGCCCCCUCCCCCGGGAUAGCCGCCCGAAAGGGCGGGUAAUACCGGAUACCCCGGGGUGCCGCAUGGCACCCCGGCUAAAGCCCCGACGGGAGGGGAUGGCUCCGCGGCCCAUCAGGUAGACGGCGGGGUGACGGCCCACCGUGCCGACAACGGGUAGCCGGGUUGAGAGACCGACCGGCCAGAUUGGGACUGAGACACGGCCCAGACUCCUACGGGAGGCAGCAGUGGGGAAUCUUGCGCAAUGGGGGGAACCCUGACGCAGCGACGCCGCGUGCGGGACGGAGGCCUUCGGGUCGUAAACCGCUUUCAGCAGGGAAGAGUCAAGACUGUACCUGCAGAAGAAGCCCCGGCUAACUACGUG
rnacentral:rRNA from 1 species